GACGAACGCUGGCGGCGUGCUUAACACAUGCAAGUCGAACGGAAAGGCCCUGCUUUUGUGGGGUGCUCGAGUGGCGAACGGGUGAGUAACACGUGAGUAACCUGCCCUUGACUUUGGGAUAACAUCAGGAAACUGGGGCUAAUACCGGAUAGGAGCUCCUGCUGCAUGGUGGGGGUUGGAAAGUUUCGGCGGUUGGGGAUGGACUCGCGGCUUAUCAGCUUGUUGGUGGGGUAGAGGCUUACCAAGGCUUUGACGGGUAGCCGGCCUGAGAGGGUGACCGGCCACAUUGGGACUGAGAUACGGCCCAGACUCCUACGGGAGGCAGCAGUGGGGAAUAUUGCACAAUGGGCGGAAGCCUGAUGCAGCAACGCCGCGUGCGGGAUGACGGCCUUCGGGUUGUAAACCGCUUUCGCCUGUGACGAAGCGUGAGUGACGGUAAUGGGUAAAGAAGCACCGGCUAACUACGUG
rnacentral:rRNA from 1 species